CAACCUUGGGAUUCAUAGACACAACGUUUGAAAUAUUGAUACUAAAUAUCUUUGACAGUAACAAAAGCAAGAGGUUAAUCACUUAAACAUCAUACGAAGAACAUGAUACUAAAUAUCUUUGACAGCAACAAAAGCGAGAGGAAACAUGCGUCUUGCCGUUCGCUUUAACCACGGCGGAUUGAACGGGAUCUAUGAAAAGGCAUCUUCGUAUAAAUAGGGAUGAAACAAAGAAAACGAAACAAAACUAUCAAGGGAUGAUUGAAACAAAGAAAACGAAGCAAAAUAUUGACAUGCUUAAAGUUUAUCAUAAAGGAGAAAUUGAUUGAAGUAAAGCAUAGAUCUGAACUCAUUCUUCAAGUUUUUCAAUCGGAGAAAACGAAAGGGCAUAGAAGAAGAUGCCGAGUUCGUUUGUUAAUUUGGAAAAAAAGAAUCAGGUCCAAACGUGAAUAGCAGAAGCAGGACGAAGCCCACAUGUUGAGGUCCAUCUGAUGUGUAAAAAAAAAAGAAUAUGAUUGGUUGAUUAUUUUGUAAUACGUGGCAUAGCUAUAUGAUGAGUAUAUCUUCCUUUUAGUAUAGUAUAAAUUUACAUAUAAUUUUACAUUGACUAAUUAUAUUUUGUAUUUUAGACCGACAUGGAUAUCAUAUAAACUAAUUCCAUAUUUAUAAACGAUUUAGACUUGUAUUUAUAUGUAAAUAUUAUACAAUUAAUCUAUUCAUAGAUUAUUUUAACUUAUAUUUAAUAGUAUAUAAACUGAUUAUUUGAUGUUUAUUAUUUUAACUUAUAUUUAGUAGUAUAUAAAUUGAUUAUUUGAUGUUUUAUUACUUUAACUGUAUUACUAAUAGAUAAUAUGAAAUAUUUAAUGUGUUAAGGUUUAAAACAAUAUUAUCUUAUAAGCUAGCGUGGGCAUUAUGUGUAUCAAUUCGGUUCGGUUUGGGUAUUUUGAAUAUCAAGUAAUUCGGGUAGGAGGAUAGAGGAUCCAUUUAUUAUUUAACAAUUUUUUGUUUGGGUUCGGUUCGGAUAGCUUUGGGUUUGGUUCAGAUUGAUUCCGAUAGUAAAAUUAGGAACCAAAAAAUACCCGAAAUGUUUUGGUCCUCAUUCGGUUUCGGCUCUGGUUCGCUAUUUCAAGUAGUGUAGGUUAAAUAACAUGUAUUUUAAAUAAAAUAACGAAUUAUUAGGAUGAUUUAGAUUAAAAAAUCUGAUAUUUUAGUUACUUUGGAUAAAAAUAUCUGGAUAGUUUCGGAUACGUUCAGAUAGUUCAGAUACUUUACAAUAAUUUAGUCUUUUUCAAAUAUUUUAAAUAUAUUUUUUAAGUAUAUAUAUAUAUAUAUAUAUUUAGCUAUGCUAUAUGUAUAUAUAUAAUUAAUAUUUUUUUAUUUGGGUACCCCUUCGGCUCGGUUCGGUGAUUUUUAAUAUAUAAAUUUUGAAACCAAUUCAUUAAUUAAGAGUUUGGUCCAGUUUCAGAUUCAGGUAUUUUGGUCGGUUCUUCGGUUAUGAUCUUUUUGUCUAAAGCUUUUAUAAAGCCAUAGUAAAUGAAUAAUAUACUUCCAAAUCUAAUAUUAAAAAUAUAUACAAACCACUUUACUGAAUUAAGAUCAUAAGAAAUAGAAAACUCUGAGUUGUAUUGUGUUAAACAUAAAAUACAUUACGAUAACAUAUUUAAAAUCCACUGGUGAUCUCAAAGAUGCAUUCAAUAUCUUUGAAAAUAUUCACUUUCAUGAUAUAGUACGUGUAUAUUUUCCUGACGUAAAAUAGGAAGUCAGUUCAAAUAUAAUUAAUGUUGCCGAUUUUUAUAGUUGAUAAUCAAUUUAGGAAAUGUAUUAAAAACAGGAAAAAACAAAAUAAUAAAAGCUAAGUUUAUUAAUUAAUUUGAUGGCAUUAGAUUGUAAAUAUUUUGCAAAUCUAAAGGUUCAUUUUAAAGUGUACUUCUAUUUUAAUAAGAUAUACUAUAUUUUGAUAUGGACUUUCAAAGCGCGGGAUAACUUUUCGGUUAAAAUUAUUUAUGAAAUGAAAAAUGUAACCCUUUGAAUUUUAAGAUUUGAGUUUGACGUCUAUAAUUGAGAAAUUAUUUGAUUUCAACGUCUCAUAUUUAAUUCAGUUCAUUAUUUUAAAUUUUGUAAAAAAAACUAAAUAUAUAUUAAAUAUAUAUUAUCCACAAAUCUCGUAUCUGUUAUAUACUUCUAAAAAAUAUAGUAGAUAAUAAAUAUGACUUACAUUCUCAUCUACAAAAAUAAUCACUAAAUUUUGCUACUUUAAAAUUUUGAUAACAUAGUGAAGUGUCAUUUUCAGUUUUGUUAUAGAUGUUAAGAGUAGCUUUUCAAUCUUAAAUUUUUGAACAUAAGCUGAAUACUUAAUUAUAGAUUUCAAAUAUAUUUGAGAUUGAUUUUGUAAAUAAUAAAUUUUGAAACAAACUACAAAUUUACAUCUACAAGUAUGUAAGAUGUACAAAAUCUCUUCACAACUGUCACCUAACACAAGCAAAAGACUAAGCUUUGAAUCAACCUAUACCACAAGUGUCACUUAACACAAGCAAAAGACUAAGCUUUGAAUCAACCUAUACUAACAACAUCACAAAGUUCGGUCUUAUAAAUCACUAUCCCUUCCUUAAACUCCACUGUCGUAAAAGAUUCUCGCAUAAAAUUAAGUUACCACCACAUUCACUCUGGCCACUUCUAAACAUACCGGCAAGUUUUCAUUGAGGACUUCCAGUAGAAUAUAUAUUAAGCAACAGAUAUUUUAUAUUCCAGUAGAAUAGGAGAAUUUUAGUUAUUAGAAUUUUUAAUUUUUUUUUUGUUUUUGGAAUAUUCUUUAAAUAGAGGAGAGAAUAGUAUAUAUGGAAAUAAGUGUGUUUAAUUUUUGGUCAAAAUUAAUUUUUUUAAAAUCUAAAUAAGAAAAUGGAAUAUCAUUGUAAAUAACUCCAAAAACCAAGAGCAGAAUCCUAGUAUAUAUUGAUAGAUUACUAGCAUAUCUAGGUGUGUAUGGGGAUUUCUCUUUGGGAAGAAAGAAAGACACAGUUAUCCGACAUUUUUUUGGACAGAACUUGGGUUCACCCCCUAAAGUGAAUUAUACAAUUCACCUCACUUCCCUAAACCAAUCAAACUGCCACAUAAGAUUAAUGAAAAAAUGUAUUAUUUUUUUUUAAUAAAUGAAAAAUAGCUUUGUAAAAAAAAGGAAUUAACGUUGUUACGGCUCCGUUAAGAGUUUUGAUCUGAUUUCUCCUUCUUCUAUCUUCGACGUCUUUUUCUUUUUCAUCCCAGGAACACCCAAAUAAUUCACCAAGUAACUUGCAGGUUUGAGCUACUUCAUCACUCAAUUAACAUAAUUAUCCCCAAGUUUAAUUAUUGUUUGUUAUAUAUAUAUAUCUCUUGAUCGUGUAAUCAAAAUUCAUAACUAGAGUUACUAGAUCUUUAAUCAUGUCUAUGUAUGAUCAUAUUUGAUUUUCUUUUAGAUAUUCUGAUUAUCACGUUUAUAUAUGAACAAGCAAUAGGGAUAUUGAGUCAAUUAGGUUAUUCUAUGCUCUGGACGUGGCUCCUCCUUACCUAGACCUUCGCCAACUUUCUGAACAAAUUGCACGUGCAUCAUACCAGUGUUUUGAUAAGUAGGAUUAACCACUUUAAGUUCAGAAAUCACAUUAUCAAGUGUAGGACUUUCUUGCGCAGCAAGGUUGGGUUCUUGUUCCUUGAUUUCCAUGUUAGUACCUGAAACAUUUCCAACCUUUUGGGCACUAGACAAGUGUGUUAAGACAGUCAUGGUAUUACUAGAAACAGAAUUAGACCCAGCUUUAAUCAAGUUGAUAAGAUCAUCAAACUUUUUAUCUAUUCUAGCGAAGGAAUUAUCCAAGCUCAACUACUCUCGGCCAGCCUCUUCAUCAUAUUUGUUUCUUUUGUUUACUCACUCUUAGUCUCUAUUUUUGUUCUCACACUCACGCUUCUUCUUCACUCUUCUGUUUCUUGCGGCUCAAGGCUCUUCUUCUUCUUCCUUCUUUGUAUUUUCUUCUCUGCUACUCUCCUUUGUAGCUUGUUCUCUGCUACUCUCGUUUGUUCUCUUCUUGGGCACUUCUUCUUAGAUCCAAUUUGUUUGUAGAUUUAAUCAGAGGUUCAACUCCAAAAAAAACUUACUUUUAAAUCAAUGCUCUUCCUCUCCAUCUUCUUCUUCCUCUUGUUUGAUACUUUCUCAGUACAAAAUCAGUGUUCGUUCAAGCCUUUGAGGAUGUUCAAAUAGCACGAAGAAGAAGAAAAUUGAUGGAUGAACAUGGCUUUAUUUGGCUUGGAGAAGGUUAAACUGAAAUAGGAUUUUGAAAGCAUAGAUUGGAGAUCCGAACUUGACAAACCCUUGUAUUAUUUUUUGUGAAAGCUAUUAGAACGUUCAAGCAGUUAACAAGAAGAAGCCGUCUACGGCAACAGCGUUAGUUU